AAUCUUAGACAAUGGGGGCAACCCUGAUCUAGCCAUGCCGCGUGAGUGAUGAAGGCCUUAGGGUUGUAAAGCUCUUUCAGCUGUGAAGAUAGUGACGGUAUCAGCAGAAUAAGUCCCGGCUAACUCCUUCCCAGCAGCCGCGGUAAUACGGAGGGGAAUAGCGUUGUUCGGAAUUAUUGGGCGUAAAGCGCCCGUAGUCGGAUCGGAAAGUUGGGGGUGAAAACCCGGGGCUCAACCCCGGAACUGCCUUCAAAAAUAUCGGUCGGGAGUGCGAGAGAGGUGAGUGGAAUUCCGAGUGUAGAGGUGAAAUUCGUAGAUAGUCGGAGGAAAACCAGUGGCGAAGGCGGCUCACUGGCUCGAUACUGACGCUGAGGUGCGAAAGCGUGGGGAGCAAACAG
rnacentral:rRNA from 1 species